UCCCAUACGGCACAAUAUUUAUUCAACAAUAUACCGAUUAUUUAGUCUCUUUCAUCUUCAGACUGCUCUGCGUUUUUAUUUGUUUUUUUAUACCUUUCGAUUUUAAUCUCUUUUGUACAUUUGUUAUUUACAAGAUUUAAAAUAUGUCAUUCUUUCUAUUUAUACAACAGACAACAGUACAUGGUGCUCUACUCAUCUUUUAAUAAACCAUUUUUUUUCUCAUUCCAUCAAGUCUCUGAUAUCAGAGUGACCGACAUGGACCUGUGUUACCCUCACACCCUCCCCCUCCCUCCUCCCGUCACUCACCACCGAGGGGGAGAGCUUCUUCCUGCGGUUCAUCUCCCACGCUGAACGAACCUGGCAGAACAAGUGAGUGUUGCAUAGAAUCACUGGGAGCCCAGCAGAAACCCACCCCCCCAAAAAUAGAUCUGAUUGGUGCCGACGUGGUUCAUGUAUAGCUUCAAUAAACGGUGAAAUCCUGAGACCUUACUGACCCUCACUUAUAUAUGAAUACAUAUAUAUCUAUGUAUAUCUAUAUCUAUACACAUAUAUAUACACAUAUAUGUAUACAUAUAUACACAUACAUAUCUACAUACAUAUAUAUAUCAUUACACAUAUAUAAAUAUAUAUAUAUAUAUAUCUAUAUAUAGAACUAUAUAGAUGUAUAUAUACACACACACACACACACGUAUAUAUAUAUGUAUGGUAUCUAUACAUCUCUAAAUAUCUUUAACAUUUGAAAGAAAAAUAUACAGCUGUACCCUAAACCUUUAUAUAAACUUUGUUAAAGAAAAUAAAAGCAGUGUUGAAGUACUACUCAGACUGAGCCCUGCAUGGAGGGUGUCUGCACAUCUAUAUAUUAAUCACAUGGAUCAGAGGGACAGAGGAGGUGGAUGAACGGUGGAUUAAAGUGCAUUAUACCAAAUAGCGAAACAAAAGCACACGUUUGAAGAAACACAUGCAGGACGGUAAACCCCCCCGUCCGACCAGCGUCAGGCGGGCAACACAAGCAAACACCUAGGAACCCUGCCUCUGGCCUGGUCCGCCAUGAUGUGUUGCAUCCUGGUCUUGGACCACAGUAUUGAGCAGGG
ensembl:lncRNA